UACGUAGGGUGCAAGCAUUAAUCGGAAUUACUGGGCGUAAAGCGUGCGCAGGCGGUUGUGCAAGACAGAUGUGAAAUCCCCGGGCUUAACCUGGGAACUGCAUUUGUGACUGCACGGCUAGAGUGUGUCAGAGGGGGGGUAGAAUUCCACGUGUAGCAGUGAAAUGCGUAGAUAUGUGGAGGAAUACCGAUGGCGAAGGCAGCCCCCCUGGGAUAACACUGACGCUCAUGCACGAAAGCGUGGGGAGCAAACAGG
rnacentral:rRNA from 1 species